rnacentral:sRNA from 1 species
AAAAGCCCUAUGAUGGGAAACUGCCACGUUAGGUUUGGAGAGAGAUAGGACCGGUUAUAUAAUAGGGGGAGCAGAUGCAAGCUUUUUCUUUCAAUAGCCGGCC